GACGAACGCUGGCGGCGUGCUUAACACAUGCAAGUCGAACGGAAAGGCCCUGCUUGCAGGGUACUCGAGUGGCGAACGGGUGAGUAACACGUGGGUGAUCUGCCCUGCACUUCGGGAUAAGCCUGGGAAACUGGGUCUAAUACCGGAUAGGAGCCAUUUUUAGUGUGAUGGUUGGAAAGUUUUUUCGGUGUAGGAUGAGCUCGCGGCCUAUCAGCUUGUUGGUGGGGUAAUGGCCUACCAAGGCGGCGACGGGUAGCCGGCCUGAGAGGGUGGACGGCCACAUUGGGACUGAGAUACGGCCCAGACUCCGACGGGAGGCAGCAGUGGGGAAUAUUGCACAAGGGGCGCAAGCCUGAUGCAGCGACGCCGCGUGGGGGAUGACGGCCUUCGGGUUGUAAACUCCUUUCGCUAGGGACGAAGCUUUUUGUGACGGUACCUAGAUAAGAAGCACCGGCUAACUACGUG
rnacentral:rRNA from 1 species